UACGUAGGGGGGCGAGCGUUGUCCGGAUUUAUUGGGCGUAAAGAGCGUGUAGGCGGCCAGGUAGGUCUGCUGUGAAAACUCGAGGCUCAACCUCGAGACGUCGGCGGAAACCAUCUGGCUAGAGUCCGGAAGAGGAGAGUGGGAAUUCCUGGUGUAGCGGUGAAAUGCGCAGAUAUCAGGAAGAACACCCGUGGCGAAGGCGGCUCUCUGGGACGGUACUGACGCUGAGACGCGAAAGCGUGGGGAGCGAACA
rnacentral:rRNA from 1 species